GGGGCUGACUGGCUUUGACAGCGUGUAGAGGUGGUGAGUAAGCAUGCAGAGUGAUGAUGCCCACACUCUAUAAUCAGAGACAUCAAAAAUUCAAAUGGCGAAAACAACUACGCUCUCGCUGCCUAAUCGAAGAACAGUAGAUUAGCUUUAUCUCCGCAACAGUUGCGGAGACGAGACAUCGCCCGAUUGUCCUCUUCCCGAGACUAAUCGACAAGGCGGUGCAGGUAAAUCGGGAAUAUAGCGGCAACUGCCUCGGAAGCCGCCGAAUCCUCAGAGGCUAAGGCCACGGUUGGUUGUCCUGAACCUGCCGCGACACGAAAACCAAGUCAGGAAUAAGCAUGUAGAAAGCUCAUUAGUUCCACGUUUGGACGAGGGUUCAAACCCCUCCAGCUCCACU
rnacentral:tmRNA from 1 species